GGUUUUCGAUUAGUUUGUAUGGGUAUUACUUUUGGGUUAUUCGAUUUAACCGAAUAACACUUCUCACUUUUUUUUAACGCUUUUUCGUGCAUAUACAUAGAGAGAAGAAAAAACAAAAACAGAAGCAGACUCAGACCAAAACUCUCUCUCUGUUCCUACCACCAAAUCUCUCUCUCUCUCUCUAUGUUCUUUUUCUUCUUCUUCACUGUCCAAAACUCUCUCUCUGUUCCAUUUGUCGUCGUCCUCUCGCAGGACGACCUUAAGGACCCACCGCCGGCCGAUUCCCUCUCCCCCGAUUCCUAGUUUUCGACGCCUUCAACUCCGAUUGGGACGAGUUCGGCGACUCUGAGUCGAAAUUCGAUGAUGAGCUCGAUCGAGGAUCUGGCAUGGGAGGGGCAGCUAUAUAUGAAUUGGUUCGUGUUGGUGCAGGGAUGUGUGUAAAUAUGUGUUCGAGAACUCAAUUGCAAGCUCCCAAUUCUAACUAGGCACAUGUACGGUAUUUUAGAUUAUGCAUACCUGUCUGGUUGUGAGUUAAUCUAAUGGUUAUGGGCACUUGGGCAUGCAGCACUAUGUUCCUAUUCCGUUUAUUACCAUGUUAAAGGAAAACAUUUCCUUUAGAUGCGUAGGGCUAGAUAUUAGCUUUGAAAUAGUACUGUUAGUAUAAGCAUGGAAAUUAAGACAACAAAACUAAAAAAACUGAGUACUUAUAAGGUACUCGUAUUGCCAUUUUUAAACAAGAAGGUACUCAUAGUGCCUGGUUGUGUCUUGCUGCAGAUGUAAAUGAGGAAAAACAAAAGGAUAUAUAGUUUGUUUGUUUGUUUUAAUCCGUGAACCCUUAUGCUAUUUUUUUCAAUUUUGGUUCAAGUUUUAAUUGUUUU
rnacentral:lncRNA from 1 species